rnacentral:rRNA from 1 species
GGGCGUGAGAGCGCGGCCCCCCACACUGGCACUGAGAUACUGGCCAGACUUCUACGUGAAGGCAGCAGUCGGGGAUAUUGCACAAUCGGCGAAAGCCGGAUGCAUCGACGCCGCGUGGGCGAUGAAUGCCUUCGGGUUGUAAAGCCCUUUUAUGGGGGAAGAGACAAGGACGGUACCCCAAGAAUAAGCGUCGGCUAACUACGUGCCAGCAGCCGCGGUAAAACGUAGGACGCAAGCGUUAUUCCGGAUUUACUGGGCGUAAAGAGCGUAGAGGCGGUUCCGUAAGUAUGGGCGUGAAAGCCCCGGGCUUAACCCGGGGAGGUCGUACAAUACUGCGGGACUUGAGGGCAGCAGAGGGAGGCGGAAUUCCCGGUGUAGCGGGUGAAAUGCGUAGAUAUCGGGAGGAACACCAGUGCCGAAGCCGGCCUCCUGGGCUGUAUCCGACGCUGAAGGCGAAAGCUAGGGGAGCGAACGGGAUUAGAAACCCCGGUAGUCCUAGCCGUAAACGAUGGAUGCUGGGUGUGGGGGCUAUAGAUCCCCUCCGUGCCGAAGCUAACGCGUUAAGCAUCCCGCCUGGGGAUUACGACCGCAAGGCUUAAACUCAGACGAAUUGACGGGGGCCCGCACAAGCAGCGGAGCGUGUGGUAUAAUUCGAUGCUACACGAAGAACCUUACCUGGGCUUGACAUGUAGGUAGUAGUGAAGCGAAAGCGGAACGACCCUUCGGGGAGCCUACACAGGUGCUGCAUGGCUGUCGUCAGUUCGUGCCGUGAGUUGUCGGGUUAAGUCCCGUAACGAACGCAACCCUUGCCCUUAGUUACAUGUGUCUAAGGGGACUGCCCGGGACAACUGGGAGGAAGAUGGGGAUGACGUCAAGUCAGCAUGGCCUUUAUGUCCAGGGCUACACACACGCUACAAUGGCCGGUACAAUGGGUCGCCAAGCCGUGAGACGGAGCCAAUCCCCCAAAGCCGGUCUAAGUUCGGAUUGUGGGCUGCAACUCGCCCAUAUGAAGCUGGAGUUGCUAGUAGCCGCGCGUCAGCAAUAGUGCGGUGAAUACGUUCCCGGGCCUUGACACACCGCCCGUCACGUCAUGGAAGCUGGCAACACCUGAAGCCAGU